ACGCUCGACACCUACGAGGCAGCAGUAGGGAAUCUUCCACAAUGGGCGCAAGCCUGAUGGAGCAACACCGCGUGAGUGAAGAAGGGUUUCGGCUCGUAAAGCUCUGUUGUUGGAGAAGAACGUGCGUGAGAGUAACUGUUCACGCAGUGACGGUAUCCAACCAGAAAGUCACGGCUAACUACGUGUCAGCAGCCGCGGUAAUCUGAGCGGGCUGGCAAGGC
rnacentral:rRNA from 1 species